AGGACGAACGCUGGCGGCGUGCUUAACACAUGCAAGUCGAGCGGUAAGGCCUUUCGGGGUACACGAGCGGCGAACGGGUGAGUAACACGUGGGUGAUCUGCCCUGCACUUCGGGAUAAGCCUGGGAAACUGGGUCUAAUACCGGAUAUGACCUCCUAUCGCAUGGUGGGUGGUGGAAAGAUUUAUCGGUGCAGGAUGGGCCCGCGGCCUAUCAGCUUGUUGGUGGGUAAUGGCCUACCAAGGCGACGACGGUAGCCGACCUGAGAGGGUGACCGGCCACGACUGGGACUGAGACACGGCCCAGACUCCUACGGGAGGCAGCAGUGGGGUAAUUUGGACAAGUGGGCGCAAGCCUGACUCCAGCGAAUCGACCGCGUG
rnacentral:rRNA from 1 species